rnacentral:miRNA from 1 species
UGUAGAUACGAGCACCAGCCAC